GUAAUAAAAAAAAUCAAUGAAUAAUUUCUAUCAACAAUUGCUGAAUGUGAGCUAUUUGUAUAACUGGAAACACUAUAUCCAUGAUUCUGCAUACUUGCAUUUUAUUCUGAUAAUGGAUUGCAAUAUUCCAGUGGGGUUUUUUUGAGUUAACCGCUGUUACUCACUUUGCAUCUCCCGAUGCAAAGUCUGCUUCUUUCUUCAGCAGCAGCGCAUGAACCGACUGGGUUGAAAAUUUACCAAAGUGGCAUUCAUGGAAAAGAGUAUUUUUCCCUUUGUUCAAUUUAUCUGCUGUUUGUUGUUUUACAGAGUAAAAGGUGUAUGUUUGCUUAGAACCCACGGAUGGCUUAAUCCAGUUCCACGUGACCGUGGGCUUAUUCCCUUCACUUGGAGAUGUGAGCCAAGCCUGGCACAGCUAGAGAUGCAGCUAAGCCUCAACCUUUGUAAAAAACCAGCUCACGCAGUGACAACCACCUUCUGCUGAAUCAUUCAUUCAAGAGAAGUCACAGUCCAAUGUUUAUGAAAUCACAGAUCAUUACCAUGGCAGCAAAUAUGAUGUCACUACCACUGGAUCAUGGAAUGAUACAGGCAGCAGGGGAUAUAAAAGGGAGAGAUUCUCUUUAUGAACAGAUAUUAUGGCAAUCAGCAUAGAUGAGAAUGGAAAUAUAUUACAGGAAAGUUUGAGUCUGUGAUCCUGCUGCCCUAGUGACUACUGCAUCCUGCACACAGAAAUGAUUGGAUAAGAGCACAUCAUCUAUCUGUUUGAGAGCGUUUGUCCAAGAACUCCUCCUAAAUGGUCUCCCACCUGCUUCUUGAGAGAGCACACCAGCAGGCAACUUUCACAAUGGAUGAUCCCCCCCAGCAUGGCUUUCUGUGAACGGGAAAUGCAGUUCACAGUCUCUGCAAAUCCAUGUCAGGAUCUGAACAGAGGCAUCUAUGCUCAGCCUGUCUAUCUGGCUACAGACACAGGUGGAGGACACAGGACCAGCUCUGGGACAGUGUCAGAGAGGCAAAUGUAGAACCUGCCCACCCAAAUACAACAUCCUUGGUCCAUCACCUCUUUACGCUCCCUCCUUGACUGCACCAUGUAGGAGCUCCACAAGACCUAGAGGAGACUAAGCCCUCGAAAAGAGAUUUAUACAUGUGCGGAAGGAGGCCAUAGUAUUUACUCUUUGCAAAGAAUUCCAAGCUUUAUGGACUUUCCCUAAACCCUACUCAAAGAGAGGAAGGAUUUCAAAGCUCAGUGAUGACUCAAAGGAAGUGAAGUAAUUGUUUUGAUGCUAUUUCUCAGUUACCACUAAUUUAAGGCUGGCAGCUUAAAGGGUUUUGUGGUGAACAACGAAUGGACUUUAAUCAACUGUUCUUGGGUGUAGAGAGUUGACAAAGGAAAAAAGUGAGUUUGACAAAUGGAGAAAAUGUGUUUGGCUUAGUGCUAGGUGUUAAAACAAAAACAAACAAAAAAACCUUACUUUGGAGGAAGAGAAUAAAGAUUCUGUA